rnacentral:lncRNA from 1 species
UGAAUUAUGUAGUCCAUCUUGCUCAUUUAUACCAAGGAGAUUAUGAUGACAUCCUACUCGGUACAUUUUAUUUCAAGAUGAUCAAAAGUCCAAAAUUUGCAUAUGUUGUAUAAUCCCCUGUUUGGUUUAGCUAAAAAUUAGAAGUCGAUAAAAUAUGUGGUUGAAAAGUAGAUAAAAGUUGUGAGUCCCAUAAAAUGUGUGGUUGAAAAUGAAUUUUUGAAAAAGAGGGCCAAACAGGGGAUAAAUAAUCUGUGAUCGUGUUUAUCCUUUAGAAGGUCUUGUCAACUUGCUUAGGGCUUUCAUUGUACUUCCUUUUAAUCUCCUAUAACUCAAAUCACUACAUUCUUUCCUUGUAGGCAUUAUGCAUAGCUGGAUCAUCAGUUCCUAGGCAUGUAAAUGGUGUUCCAGGGAGCAGAGCUGACAUGAUCAUCUCAGUGAGUGAUUAUUCACAGUUUACCCAUUUAAUGCUUGUCAAACUUUCAUCUCUCUGAUUUCCCUUUUCUUGGUGAUGGAACAUGGUUAUAUAUGUUAUAAUUUUCUUUAAAUAUAUUUUCUUCCAUCUGAAGUACUAAGGUCCUGUGGCGCUUCCUUCUGAGCUGUAUGCAAAUGAUCCCACCUCUGUAUUUUUUAUUUCAGGUUAUUGUGAAGCAAGCUGGUCUAAAGCUACAAGAGAAUGUAAAUUAUCUUUAAUAAUUUUACUAUUUCUUCUUUUUAUAUGUAAUAUAUCUUUCUUGGACAUUUAAGCCUUUUUCUUUACUUAGAUUUUCCUUUUUCUGGGUGAUGGCCUGCAGAAAUUGAAUAAAUGCUUUAGAAGCUACAGAUACCCAGACAAUUUCAUGAACUUCCUUACCCAAGCAUUAAGAAGUGAUAAUAUGAACUUUCUUAAUCUUACUCAACUUUAUUCAUGUAAUUGGAAAUUUAAUCUUGAAGCUCAAAUUGUUUGCAUGGGAGGCUGUAAUCUUCUUAAAGUUUACAAAUUGGAAAUAGAUGUUUGACUAUAUGCAUGAACUGGUUGCUUCUGAAUUUAUAUUUCACCAUAUCUUAUUGGAUCAAAAUAUUUCUACUCAUUCAUCUCAUUGAUCUGACCAUUUAAUGGUUAGGUACAAUAGAUCAGGCGGGAAAUCUAAGCUUUACAGUCUGUACUAUACUUUUGGUCACCACGUACAUGUUUGGAAAAAAUAUGUCAUUUAAUACUCAAGCAAACUGGAUCUUGGUAGUGUAUGGACCUAUAUGCCUAGUCGUGAAAAUAAUGACACUGUACUUGGGAAGAUGUUCAUAAUAUUGGUUUGAUGAUAAUAUAGCUGCAUUGUCGAUCUUAAUUUGUUAUACCUGCUUCUGAAAUUUUGUUUCUUUUUGUACCAAUUCUUGCUAUCCUUCAUUUAUUUUGAUUUUCCUGUUUCAAUUAUUAGCAUUUCCUAAUUGUUAUACCUGCUUCUGAAAUUUUGUUUCUCUUGUACCAAUUCUUGC